GUGAGAUUAGUACUAGCUAAUUGAAACCUAGAUUUUUAGAUACUCAUCAGCUGUUUCCAGAUGUUUGGAUUGUCACCAACUGGCUCUAUUCAUCAGCUGCUUCUUAGAACGGAGCCAUGGAGAAACUUCUUAUCUUCAGCUUUCCCUAAACGAGGUCAUAGUCUCAGAGAAAUACCAUGAAGGCAAUAGGGUUAUCCGGCGUAAUUGAUGAUCUCGGUCGUUGAAAUUUGUACUUUGUUUCGAGUUUUUUUAAGUCAAACUUCUUCAAAGUUUAAUCAAAUUUAUUAUAGAAAAAUAUAAAAACAGUUAUAGCACCAAAUUAGUUUCAUUACAUUUAAUAUUGAACAUAUUUUUUUCUAAAAAUAUUGCUAUAUUUUUUUUAUAAAUUUGAUCAAAUCUAAAAAAAAGUUUGACUUAAGAAAAGUCAAAACUACUUUAUCCGUUUCACAAUAUAAAUCAUUCUAGUAUUUUCUAGAUUCAUAUUGAUGUUAAUGAAUUUAGAUAGAUAUAUAUAUGUCUAGAUUAAAUGAUUUACAUUGUGAA
rnacentral:precursor_RNA from 1 species